GUGAAUCAUCGAAUUUUUGAACGCAAAUUGCACUUUCUGGUAUUCCGGAAAGUAUGCCUGUUUGAGGGUCAGUUAAAUAAAAAUCGGUGUUAUUGCUAUUAAUGGUGAUGCAUCGGAAUUGAGUCGUCUUUACCUUUGUUUUUAAGUGACUUAAAAUUAUGUACGAUUUCUGAACGUAUGUAAAUUAUUAAUUUUGCGUAUGAUUGCAAUAUAUAAGUUCGGG
rnacentral:misc_RNA from 1 species